UACGAAGGGUGCAAGCGUUACUCGGAAUUACUGGGCGUAAAGCGUGCGUAGGCGGUUUGUUAAGUCCGUUGUGAAAGCCCUGGGCUCAACCUGGGAAUUGCAGUGGAUACUGGCGAGCUAGAGUGCGGUAGAGGAUGGUGGAAUUCCCGGUGUAGCGGUGAAAUGCGUAGAGAUCGGGAGGAACACCCGUGGCGAAGGCGGCCAUCUGGACCGUAACUGACGCUGAGACACGAAAAGCGGUGGGUAGCAAACAGG
rnacentral:rRNA from 1 species